UACUUCUUGAUCACACCCAUCUACACAUCGUAGCAAUCAUCACUUAGCCACCCCAGAAUCUCCAAUUCCUGGUGGCGCAAUGGCAACUCAAGCUUCUCUCUUCACACCCACCACCCUCUCCACACUUAAAUCAAGCAACCAUGUGAUCGUGCCAUGGAAACAAUCCUCCUUUUUCUCAAUUUCUAGUGCUGCUAAGCCACAAAAAUACUCCAAGCCUCAAACAACCAUCAAGGCUAUUGUUGCAGAGGGAAAAACUGAGGCGGCUCCGGUGGGCUUUACACCACCAGAAUUGGACCCAAAUACCCCAUCGACAAUUUUUGGCGGCAGCACUGGUGGGUUGUUGAGGAAGGCUCAGGUGGAGGAGUUUUAUGUGAUCACUUGGCAGUCACCCAAGGAACAAAUAUUUGAAAUGCCCACUGGUGGUGCAGCUAUCAUGAGGCAAGGUCCUAACUUGCUUAAGCUGGCUAGGAAAGAGCAGUGCUUGGCUCUUGGGACUAGACUCAGGUCCAAAUACAAGAUUAAGUACCAGUUUUACAGGGUGUUCCCAAAUGGGGAAGUCCAAUAUUUGCAUCCUAAGGAUGGAGUGUAUCCUGAGAAGGUGAACCCAGGGCGUCAAGGUGUUGGCCAGAAUUUCAGGUCAAUCGGAAAGAAUGCGAGUCCAAUUGAGGUGAAGUUCACUGGGAAGCAAGUUUACGAUUUGUGAUGGAUCUGUGAUUUUAUGCGAUUAUUUUACUGUUGUUUGGUGUAAUUGUGUUCCUUUCUAAGAAGCUACAAGAGAAGCAAAACUUGUUUGUCAAGUACUUGAACAUAUAAGGGAACCGAUUCCUUUUGUACUAUGAAGCUGGUAUGGUAAAUUCCUUUCAAAUGGUUCAAUUAGUAUUCACUGGCAAUAAAUAUCAAUAUGGAGCUUCUAGUCAUGAUGAUUCAGUGAUUGUCUCAGUUGGCUAAAUACUAAUUGAACCAUUUGAAAGGAA
rnacentral:misc_RNA from 1 species